UACGAAGGGGGCUAGCGUUGUUCGGAAUUACUGGGCGUAAAGCAUAUGUAGGCGGAUCGUUAAGUCGGGGGUGAAAUCCCGAGGCUCAACCUCGGAACUGCCUUCGAUACUGGCGAUCUUCGAGUCCGGGAGAGGUGAGUGGAACUCCGAGUGUAGAGGUGAAAUUCGUAGAUAUUCGGAAGAACACCAGUGGCGAAGGCGGCUCACUGGCCCGGUACUGACGCUGAAAUACGAAAGCGUGGGGAGCAAACAGG
rnacentral:rRNA from 1 species